rnacentral:lncRNA from 1 species
AAAUGACUGUCAUACAAAUGGUAUGGUGGAACUGGAACCCCAAAAUGAUGUUAUUGAAAUAAUGACUAAACAAAAUGAAAUAACAACACUUUUAAUUCAACAGCAAAGCCUCUUUUCCUUACCAAAGAGAGAAAUACCUCAUUUUGAUGGAGAUCCACUUCAAUAUUAUUCAUUCAUUAAAGCAUUUGAGAAUGCAGUUGAGUGCAAUACAAAAAAUAACAGUGAUCGUUUAUAUUUUUUGGAACAGUACACAAGAGGCCAUGCAAAGGAAUUGGUGAGAAGCUGUCAACAAAUGAACUCAGAUCGUGGUUAUUGGAAAGCAAAAUCACUGUUAAAGGAGCACUAUGGCGAUGAACAGAAGGUCGCAGCUGCAUAUCUGGACAAGGCACUUUCAUGGCCGUCGAUUAAAACAGAGGAAGUAAAAGCUCUUCAGAACUACAGUUUGUUCCUUAGGGGAUGCUGUAAUGCAAUGGAGGAGGUGCAGCAUCUGAGUGAUUUGGACAUGCCUUCUAAUAUGGUGAACAUUAUUAAAAAAUUGCCGUAUAAAUUUAGGGACAGAUGGAGAAGCCAUGUUUGUGACCUGCAAGAAAAGCAUAAGAGAAGAGCCAAAUUUAUGGAUAUUGCAGACUUUUUGGAGAGGCAAAUAAGAAUAUUAACUGAUCCUGUAUUCGAUAACAUUCAAGAUUCUUCGCUUUCUUUACCGACUAAAGGAAUGAGUAAACCCAAGUAUCAAGGCAGACCUGGAAAUAAAGGAACAAGCUUUGCCACCACCAUGCAAGUUGUGGAGAGUACACCUAAGCCUGCGGAAAUGGAAAUUAAAAAUAAUCAGGUUGGAAGGAACGUCUGUAUUUGUUGUGGAGGAAGACACAUGUUGGACGUAUGUGCACAGUUGGGAAAAAUGGCUCAUGAGAAGAAGAUAACCUUCUUAAAGGAAAAUGGCAUCUGUUUUGGCUGCUUGUGUAUAGGACACAUCAGUAAAGAUUGCCGUAAGAGGAUUUCCUGUUCUAAAUGCAGCUGGAAACAUCCCAUCAUACUGCACAAAGAAAGUACACCCUCUGAAAAGACCGACAGGAACAUGCAGCCGCAUGUGAGCACAUUGGUGUCAAGUGGUCUUACAGGGGCUGGAGAUCAGGACUGUAAACUGCCCAUUGUACCUGUCCAAGUAAAGUCAAAGAAAGGAAGCAAUAUCGUUACAACAUAUGCUUUUUGGGACCAAGGGAGCACAGCAGUUUUCUGCACUGAGAGUCUAAUGCGCAGACUACACCUUGAGGGAAGGAAAGGAAACAUCCUCCUCAGAACCAUGGGCCAGGAAAGAAUUGUGAGCAGCAACACUUUAUCAGGACUGGAGGUUGCCACUCUUUGUGGGGACGAAUUUCUGGAGCUGCCAAAAGUGUACACACAGGAGUCCAUGCCUGUACAUAAAGGAAAUAUUACAACACCAGGAGAUAUUGAAGGAUG